AUUCAUUGACUUAAAAAAAAAAAAGGAGUUGAACUCACAAGUGUAGGUAGUGUGCUACAUGAGGGGCAAGUUUUUCGCUAACAUCACAAGGGUCUCUGGCCCAAUGAGUGGAGUUUGAUAGUAAUACUUGCUACAAAU